AACGAACGCUGGCGGCAUGCCUAACACAUGCAAGUCGAACGAGACCUUCGGGUCUAGUGGCGCACGGGUUCGUAACGCGUGGGAACCUGCCCUUAGGUUCGGAAUAACUCCCCGAAAGGGGUGCUAAUACCGGAUAAUGUCUUCGGACCAAAGAUUUAUCGCCUUUGGAUGUGCCCGCGUUGGAUUAGCUAGUUGGUAGGGUAAAAGCCUACCAAGGCGACGAUCCAUAGCUGGUCUGAGAGGAUGAUCAGCCACACUGGGACUGAGACACGGCCCAGACUCCUACGGGAGGCAGCAGUGGGGAAUAUUGGACAAUGGGCGAAAGGCUGAUCCAGCAAUGACGCGUGAGUGAUGAAGGCAUUAGGGUUGUAAAGCUCUUUUAACCGGGAUGAUAAUGACAGUACCGGGAGAAUAAGCUCCGGCUAACUCCGUG
rnacentral:rRNA from 1 species